GCAUCUGCGAAAUCAGAUGUCGGAAUUAACCUCCUGCUGUAACUACAAAGGCGCAUAGCACGCCAACAGCGUGUUUUUU
rnacentral:sRNA from 1 species